GACGGAGGAUGCAAGUGUUAUCCGGAAUCACUGGGCGUAAAGCGUCUGUAGGUGGUUCGAAAAGUCCACUGUUAAAAAUUGAGGCUUAACUUCAAAGAUGCCGUGGAAACUUUCAAACUAGAGUAUGGUAGGGGUAGAGGGAAUUUCCAGUGGAGCGGUGAAAUGCGUAGAUAUUGGAAAGACCACCGAUGGUGAAGGCACUCUACUGGGCCACUACUGACACUGAGAGACGAAAGCUAGGGGAGCAAAUGGG
rnacentral:rRNA from 1 species